rnacentral:rRNA from 1 species
UACGUAGGGUGCAAGCGUUAAUCGGAAUUACUGGGCGUAAAGGGUCCGUAGGCGGUGCGGUAAGUCGGGAGUGAAAUCUCUGGGCUUAACUCAGAGGCUGCUUCCGAAACUACCGUGCUAGAGUGCGAGAGAGGCAAGUGGAAUUGCGGGUGUAGCGGUGAAAUGCGUAGAUAUCCGCAGGAACAUCCGAGGCGAAAGCGGCUUGCUGGAUCGCAACUGACGCUGAGGGACGAAAGCUAGGGGAGCAAACAGG